rnacentral:hammerhead_ribozyme from 1 species
ACACUACUGAAGAGUUCCACAAUAGAACGAAACAGCCGUCCAGUGU